CUUCCCAGGAAUCACGUCUCAAGGGAUAACUUAUGUACACUUUAACAUGGUUCCCUGUGGAGUCAAUCUCCCACACACGCACCCUCGAGCUUCCGAGCUCCUCACCAUGAUCUCUGGCGGGCCACUUCAAGUUGGAUUCGUGGAUACAGCUGGAGUACCACGCAUCAACCUCUUGAACCCGGGCGAUAUCACGAUAUUCCCACGGGG